rnacentral:piRNA from 1 species
UGAUUGAAUGUCAAUAGGGGCAGGG